AGAGUUUGAUCCUGGCUCAGAACGAACGCUGGCGGCGUGGCUAAGACAUGCAAGUCGAACGGACUAUGCUUUUAGUAUAGUUAGUGGCGAAAGGGUGAGGAAUAGGUAGGUAACGUACCGUUUGUUUCAGGAUAGCGUCUGGAUGCUUGCAUCCUUCCGAAAGGGGCAUUAAUACUGAAUAAAGUCAUAGUUUUAAUGAUUAUGACCAAAGAUUUAUCGACGAACGAGCGGCCUAUCUCCUAUCAGCUUGUUGGUGAGGUAAUGGCUCACCAAGGCGACGACGGGUAGCGGGACUGAGAGGUUGACCCGCCACAUCGGGACUGAGACACUGCCCGGACCUCCACGGAGGGCUGCAGUAACGAAUAUUGUGCAAUGAGCGAAAGCUUGACACAGCGACGCCGCGUGUAGGAUGAAGCCUCUCGGGGUGUAAACUACUGUCAGGGGAAAGAAAGUGCGCUUCGGCGUAUUGAUCUACCCCAGAGGAAGUCACGGCUAACUACGUGCCAGCAGCCGCGGUAAUACGUAGGUGGCAAGCGUUGUUCGGAAUCACUGGGCUUAAAGCGUGUGUAGGCGGAAUAGAAAGUGUCUUGUGAAAUCCCUCGGCUUAACCGAGGAAUUGCUCGGCAAACUACUAUUCUUGAGGCAAGCAGGGGUGUGUGGAACUCUUGGUGGAGCGGUGGGAUGCGUAGAUAUCAAGAGGAACGCCAAUGGUGAAGACAGCACACUGGGCUUGUUCUGACGCUGAGACACGAAAGCGUGGGGAGCGAACGGGAUUAGAUACCCCGGUAGUCCACGCCGUAAACGAUGUCUACUAGGUGUUGGGAACUCUGAUGUUCUCAAGACCGGAGCAAAAGUGUUAAGUAGACCGCCUGGGGAGUACGGUCGCAAGGCUAAAACUCAAAGGAAUUGACGGGGGCUCACACAAGCGGUGGAGCAUGUGGAUUAAUUCGAAGCAACGCGCAGAACCUUACCUGGGUUUGACAUGUCUGGAUGCCUAUCUGGAAACAGAGUCGGCUGCCCUUCGGGGUGAAACUUGCACAGGUGCUGCAUGGCUGUCGUCAGCUCGUGUCGUGAGAUGUCGGGUUAAGUCCUUUAACGAGCGAAACCCCUACCGUUAGUUGCCAGCGCGUCAUGGCGGGGACUCUAACGGGACUGCCGGUGUUAAACCGGAGGAAGGUGGGGAUGACGUCAAGUCCUCAUGGCCUUUAUGCCCAGGGCCUCACACGUGCUACAAUGGUGACUACAGAGCGACGCAAUACCGCGAGGUGGAGCAAAUCGCACAAAAGUCAUCUCAGUCCGGAUUGUAGGCUGUCAACUCGCCUACAUGAAGUUGGAAUCGCUAGUAAUCGCGUAUCAGCCAUGACGCGGUGAAUGUGUUCCUGAGCCUUGUACACACCGCCCGUCAAGUGAUGGGAGCCGGGAGUACCCGAAGUCGGGUUGCCAACCUUUUAGGGGGCGCCUGCCUACGGUAAGUUCGGUGACUGGCACUAAGUCGUAACAAGGUA
rnacentral:rRNA from 1 species